rnacentral:rRNA from 1 species
GAUGAACGCUGGCGGCGUGCCUAAUACAUGCAAGUCGAGCGAACAGACGAGGAGCUUGCUCCUCUGACGUUAGCGGCGGACGGGUGAGUAACACGUGGAUAACCUACCUAUAAGACUGGGAUAACUUCGGGAAACCGGAGCUAAUACCGGAUAAUAUAUUGAACCGCAUGGUUCAAUAGUGAAAGACGGUUUUGCUGUCACUUAUAGAUGGAUCCGCGCCGCAUUAGCUAGUUGGUAAGGUAACGGCUUACCAAGGCGACGAUGCGUAGCCGACCUGAGAGGGGGAUCGGCCACACGGGAACUGGGACACGGUCCAGACGCCUAAGGGAGGCAGCAGUAGGGAAUCUUCCGCAAUGGGCGAAAGCCUGACGGAGCAACGCCGCGUGAGUUAUGAAGGUCUUCGGAUCGGAAAACUCUGUUAUUAGGGAAGAACAAAUGUGUAAGUAACUAUGCACGGCUUGACGGUACCGAAUCAGAAAGCCACGGCUAACUACGUG